CUUCGCUUUGGCUCGCUUCCAACUACGCGUUGCGAUAUGGAAUCGUGUACCCAUCAGUGCCUGAUGCCCCAUUAGAAUGGCAGGCCCUUCAAGUUUGUCCCCGCUGCGCUCCCAGGCAUUCUCCCCCAAGCUAAGCCUAUCACCACAGAUCAGACCCAAGCUCCACCGCUCGCUUUGGCGCAGCCCUCUCUCUCUUUUACACAAGGCCUCCUUGUUGGCCAACUGUCCGUUGUCCUACUGAUCGGAGCCUUCAUCAAAUUCUUCAUAUUCGGCGAAGCUCCUCCACCUCCGUCCCGGAGCGAUCGUACGAGUUCCCAUCGACGAUCAUAUUCUAUAAAUACAAUCUCUACAGAUUUUAGUCCGCGAACACUAAGAGAGAAGCCCUCAACGUCCAACAUACUCCGGCCUGUCCCCUCGUCCUCUACGAACACCCGCUCCAUCCUUCGAAAGACAUAUUACAGUGCCACGCCUACAAAUCCUACUUCCAAACAUGGCCGAUCACGCGUCCACCAUUCCUCUCAUCAGCCAGAAUCUCUGGACUGGUUUAAUGUUCUCAUUGCGCAGACCAUCGCCCAAUAUCGACAGACAGCAUAUAUCCUCAAGGACUCGCCCACGUCGUCCAUCCUCGCUUCUCUCUCUGAAGCGCUAAACAAUCCAGAGAAGAAACCUUCCUUCAUAGACACCAUCAAGGUAACAGACAUAUCGCUUGGCGAGGAGUUCCCCAUCUUCAGCAAUUGCCGCGUGAUCGCCGUCGAAGACCCAAACUCCGACGGCGGCCGCCUCCAGGCACUCAUGGACGUCGACCUAAGUGAUGACAACCUUUCUCUGGCCGUCGAAACCUCCCUCCUCCUAAACUACCCAAAACCUUUCUCCGCCGUCCUCCCCGUCGCCCUCGCCGUCUCUGUCGUCCGCUUCUCUGGUACAUUAUGCAUCUCCUUCGUCCCCGGCCCCGGCACCUCAGAUCAAACAAUGGGCCCAUCCGCUUCUCCACCGAACCAAACCACCAGCACCGAAACUGCCUCCAUCAACGACCAAACUUCCGAAGGGCAGAGCACUCAACGGCAUACUUUUCACCAACACAAGCCUACUAAUUCCACCCCAACCGCUGCCACCGCCGACGACGCACACACCAAACAUGCGCAUGGCAUCCCUAAAACAAGCCUCGCCUUCUCCUUCCUACCAGACUACCGCCUCGACCUCUCCGUGCGCUCGCUCAUCGGCUCUCGCAGCCGCCUGCAAGAUGUGCCCAAGGUAGCACAACUGGUCGAGGCGCGCAUGCAGGCAUGGUUUGAAGAGCGAGUCGUCGAGCCGCGCGUGCAGGUUGUGGGGCUACCGAACAUUUGGCCUCGGAUGGGGAGGACGGGGGUGAGGGGCAGUCAGGAGG
rnacentral:sRNA from 1 species